AUUGAACGCUGGCGGCAUGCCUUACACAUGCAAGUCGAACGGCAGCACGGGAGCAAUCCUGGUGGCGAGUGGCGAACGGGUGAGUAAUAUAUCGGAACGUGCCCAGUCGUGGGGGAUAACGCAGCGAAAGCUGUGCUAAUACCGCAUACGAUCUACGGAUGAAAGCGGGGGAUCGCAAGACCUCGCGCGAUUGGAGCGGCCGAUAUCAGAUUAGCUAGUUGGUGAGGUAAAGGCUCACCAAGGCGACGAUCUGUAGCUGGUCUGAGAGGACGACCAGCCACACUGGGACUGAGACACGGUCCAGACUCCUACGGGAGGCAGCAGUGGGGAAUUUUGGACAAUGGGCGCAAGCCUGAUCCAGCAAUGCCGCGUGCAGGAUGAAGGCCUUCGGGUUGUAAACUGCUUUUGUACGGAACGAAACGGCGAGCUUUAAUACAGUUUGCUAAUGACGGUACCGUAAGAAUAAGCACCGGCUAACUACGUGCCAGCCGCCGCGGUAAUAC
rnacentral:rRNA from 1 species